rnacentral:rRNA from 1 species
UGGGGGAUAUUGCACAAUGGGCGAAAGCCUGAUGCAGCGACGCCGCGUGGGGGAUGAAGGCCUUCGGGUUGUAAACUUCUUUUGCUCUGAACAAGGCAUGCCUUUGGGGUGUGUUGAGUGUAGGGGUUGAUUAGCGCCGGCUAACUACGUGCCAGCAGCCGCGGUAAUACGUAGGGCGCGAGCGUUGUCCGGAAUUAUUGGGCGUAAAGGGCUUGUAUGUGGCUGGUUGCGUCUGUCGUGAAAGAUCAUGGCUUAACUGUGGGUUUGCGGUGGGUACGGGCUGGCUUGAGUGCAGUAGGGGAGGCUGGAAUUCCUGGUGUAGCGGUGGAAUGCGCAGAUAUCAGGAGGAAUACCGGUGGCGAAGGCGGGUCUCUGGGCUGUUACUGACGCUGAGGAGCGAAAGCGUGGGGAGCGAACAGG